GACGAACGCUGGCGGCGUGCUUAACACAUGCAAGUCGAACGGAAAGGCCCUGCUUUUGUGGGGUGCUCGAGUGGCGAACGGGUGAGUAACACGUGAGUAACCUGCCCUUGACUUUGGGAUAACUUCAGGAAACUGGGGCUAAUACCGGAUAGGAGCUCCUGCUGCAUGGUGGGGGUUGGAAAGUUUCGGCGGUUGGGGAUGGACUCGCGGCUUAUCAGCUUGUUGGUGGGGUAGUGGCUUACCAAGGCUUUGACGGGUAGCCGGCCUGAGAGGGUGACCGGCCACAUUGGGAAUGAGAUACGGCCCAGACUCCUACGGGAGGCAGCAGUGGGGAAUAUUGCACAAUGGGCGGAAGCCUGAUGCAGCAACGCCGCGUGCGGGAUGACGGCCUUCGGGUUGUAAACCGCUUUCGCCUGUGACGAAGCGUGGGUGACGGUAAUGGGUAAAGAAGCACCGGCUAACUACGUG
rnacentral:rRNA from 1 species